rnacentral:tRNA from 1 species
AGGAGUAUAGUUCAAUCGGUAGAACGGUGGUCUUCAAAACCAUAAGCUAAGGGUUCGAGUCCCUUUUCUCCUG